rnacentral:lncRNA from 1 species
ACCUGCCUGUGGAGGAAAUGCCAGUUUAUUAAUGAGUGUGGAUUAAUGAGUACGAUCACUCCAAGCCCAUCCAGGGGCAGCAGAAGAAGCCCUUUGAGGAGCACUGGAGGAAGCACACCCUGUCCUAUGUGGACGUCAGCACUGGGAAGGUCACCCUGGAAUAUAGACCCGUAAUUGACAAAACUUUGAAUGAGGCUGACUGUGCCGCCAUCCCCCCAGCCAUUCACUCCUGCUGAUGAGACAAGAUGCGGUGAUGACAGAAUCAGCUUUUGUAAUUAUGUAUAAUAACUCAUGUAUGUGUCCAUGUCAUAAGUGUCUUCAUACGCUUCUGCACUCCAGGGAAGAAGGAGUACAUUGAGGGGAGAUUGGCACCCAGUGGCCGGGAGCUUGCCAGGAACCCAGUGGCCAGGGAGCGUGGCACUUACCUUUGUCCCUUGCUUCAUUCUUGUGACAUGAUAAAACUGGGCACAGCUCUUAAAUAAAAUAUAAAUGAACAAACUUUCUUUUAUUUCCAAAUCCAUUUACAAUAUUUUACUGUUGUGACUUGUCAUAUUUGUUGACCUAAAAAUCAAAUGUAAUUGUCUUUGUAUUCUGUCACAUCAAAAUCCAGAUAUUUUGUUGUAGUUUUUCUUUUUUUUUUUGAGACAGGAUCGGUGCAGUGGUGCAGUCUCAGCUCACUGCAGCCUCAAACUCCUGGGCAGCUCAGGUGAUCUUCCCGACUCAGCCUUCU